rnacentral:lncRNA from 1 species
GAACCUUUGGUCCUCCCAAAAUAUAAAAUUUGAAAUAAAAGGGUGUAAAGCGAACAAAUGUAGAUUUCAAUCAUACCUUUUGACAGUUCCCCAUUAAGAACAUUCAAAGAAUCAACUACUUGAUGAGCGGCACCUGAAACAAAGCAAGACAAGCAGGAGGAAAACUACCAUUAGUUUCACUUUUGUCUAUACAAAAUUUAAAAUAAUUUGUAGGAAAGGGAAAAAGGCGAGAGAUGCAGAAUGCUUAUGGCUAAUCAAUAUAAUUUUUUUUAUUGGUCAUAGUUAUUAAACAGUAACAUCAAAUGCUUCUAUCUCCUAAGAUUCUAGCCUGUGCGGGAGCAUAGGUCGCUGGAGUAGAGUAUAAAAUCUAAAUGAAUCGAACUCACAGCAUGCUAAACUUAAGUUUCAGUAAUAUUUCUGAAAAUGGUUUUGCAUUGACCAUUCAGAAUGUACUUUCAUAACUAAAUAUCACUUCUAAUAUUUCAAAACAGAUGAUACAUGGCUUGCUGUAUCAUCUCCAAAUCAACUCAUCUGAAUACUUCCAUUCUAAAUAUAGCUAAUGAACAACUGCAAACUUGUAGGAACGGAAUUCCAUUUAGUAAUAGGUAGUCAGCUUUUGCAAGGGCAAAUAUAUGCAUAUCUCAAUUGCAACAGAAAUUAUGGUGUUACUUAACAACAAAAUGACGCAUCGACAAAAUAAUUAGCUCCAUUUUGUAUAAAUUAACUGUGCUUACUUUUUCACAGUGCAAUUUUUUUUGAAGGAUAAGCAGGGGAGGCCCCUACUUAAAUUUUUUGAUUAUAUGACAAACGGUACAAGUUACAGGGCUUCAAAAGCGCGAUUUGGAUCGAGCAUGUAACAGCUUAGGUAUUUGGGACCAUUAGGAAUGUGAAACAGAUGCAAAGGAAGGAAAAGGUGCUUUAAGAAACCAAAAUUUCAAGUGUUAGCACCUCUAUUCUCUUGAGAAGAGUUGCUUGCUGCAGCUUGGAGUUCAGUUUCCUUUUCUCCGCAUUCUGUAUCAGGAACAAUUUCUGGAACCUCUUCAAGACGACGCUUUCUUUCAGCUGGUGUGUUUAAAAGUUUUUUUUGGCCCAGUAGUUCCACCAAUGUAGAAAAGAAUGGGUCAAGGAAGAAAUCCUGUGGGAAGUUUCUUCAAUGGUCCUAAGAAUAUGUACUACUACUAACAGUGAAAUAUGAAAGCAAGAUGACAUUAACAAAAUGAAACACUAUACUAAUACUAAUACAUGAUGAUCACAGUCAGUCUAGAAAGGAUAUUCUACUUGUAACCCUUUCAUCUGCGCAAUAUUGAUCUUUCUUUCUAGUCUCACAAGUUCUCUUUCAAUCCACUGGAAAAUGCCAAUGUCAUCGAUAAUAUUAGAUGCACACAUAACACAUGGAAAGAAAAGAUAUAUCAGUACAAUAGUAGGACCAAUGAAGAGCUGAAUCUACCAUGAGAAUUUAAAAUUUUGCCUUCAGACAUCAAAUGUUGUCUAAUAGAUGCAAAAGAUUAGAGUAUGUGAUGCAGGUAAUACUGCCAUUCAGACCUACAGGACUUCCAAAAAAUAGCUGUAUCAAUUAGAGUAUGGUGGACAAAUAAUUCAAGUUUCUAAGCAAAAGAGGAGAACAGCAAUUGUGUACAAGUUUCAAAGCAAAAAAAAUGCUGAUAUUGAUACUAUGUCAUGAAAAUCACUAUGUCCUUGGUACGAGUUACAAAGUACUCCUUUUCAGUUGAUUCAGACAACCAGUUACUUGUAAAACUUCUAAUUUGUAUCUAUCUGCAUACAUUUCCCAUCCAACAUACAAAAGCAUGAAGUAGCAAACCAAUGGCAUUCACUGAACUGCCAGGUGCACUUACAUGAUUAACUAUGUCUGUAUACACAGUUGAAACCUUUUCCUCCAAGUCAGCCUGCCAAAAAGAGCGAACUCAGAAAACUAACAAAGGAGCUUAGCAUAUGCAUAUUAUAAACUCAAGUAGAACAGGAGACACUCUAUCUUUAAGUAUUUACAGCUGACACAUAUUAAUAGGUGCAACCUUAGGUAAACAGGCUGUCUUAAAAAAAAUCGGGCUGCAGGGGACGUAGCCCAUGUGAGAACGAGUGGAUUUUGUUAAACCCAGCCGGAAAAUUCACUCCCACGAGGAGACGAACUCAGGAUCCAAGGAGUACUACUCAAGCCACCUAACCAAUUCAGCUAGAGGCCCUUUCGCAAACAGGCUGGCUUUUAUGUCUGCAAGACAUUUUUUUCCCUUGUUCGUAGUGUCACCAUGAGAAAUGAUGGUAAUUGGUAAAUAUCAAAGAGUUUGAAGUUUAUAUUGCCAAUAUGAUAUCCUUGCUGUAUUAAAAAUGGUAUUUGCAGAUUUGCUUACAAGACUGCCAGUGUCCAAUGAUUUUCUUUAAUAGCUGAAGGGAGUAGUGGAAAACCAGAAACGGAAAUUUUUUUCGAGAACAUGCAAUGGCACGUGUUUCAUUAAGCAGAGAGUUCAGAGUUGACAAGAGGUAAUCCCCAGAUUACCAGACACACACUCACACAAGCAAAGGGACAGCGAAGGAGAGAAAAACAAAGAGGAGAAAAAGACCAAAGCACUACAAAAGCACCACACAGAUCAACCAGAGCGCCGACCGUCGAGAACCCCUAGCGGUCUGUACCCUGCCGCGAACCAGAGAGCAGCCUCCUCCAAGAUGAGUUGGGCAAGUUGCAGCGGUUGCCGGCUGGUUGAAUCGAAUGUCUGUCUGUUCCUCUCCUUCCACAAAUUCCAGCCAACCAGAAAGAAUAAGGAGUCAAAACCGCGCCUCAGCUCCUUUGGAAGAAGCUUGCGCGACGCUGUACACCAAACCAUAAUCCGUUCCUCCUGCGCCGGGACUAGCCUAAGCAGGCGGAACGCCCUGAGACAGACAGUCCAAACCUCCCUGCUGAAGACACAUCCCAGGAUAAUGUGAUCUAGAGUUUCGGUUGAUCCUCAACUAUCAACAAGUACAGAGUAUGAACCGUCCAUGACAUGACCUGGCACAAAUAAAGUAACACCUACGCCAUACCCAAAACAUUUCCCAUCAUUCUAACUAGCUAGCGUAUAACAUAUAGAAAAUAUUACUGUGGUCCUUUAUCUCUAUGGACUAGUAAAUUUCAUUUCUAUUAACAAAACAAUCUGGUUUGUACACCCUCAUAACUCCUCAGUAUUUGCUAGUGUUCUAAACAUCCAAUAGGAAGAGCAACCAAGGAAAAUUGCCUAGAUCAUUUUUCACCAUGAAUCCACUAAUUGCUGCUGCUUCCGUUAUUGCUGCUGGAUUGGCCGUAUUAACGAAUUGGCAGGAGCUCUGCAUUUCAAUUAAGCAGAAUAGAGUUUAUGUAAAGACUGCGGCUUAACAACCGACCACAGAUAUUUCCCCUCACAAACCACACUCCCGGGAAACAUCCCAAAAAUAAAGGUGUCCCUGGAGUGACGGACAAGGCCAGUCUACCCCUGCAAAUCAAGCGCCCUUCUGUAUUGUACUAAGCGUUCUUUAGAGCAUAAGAAGCAUAGAUCCCCUACUGAAUUUGUAUAGGAAUUAUCUUACUUUAGCACUGGAGUAUGCUAGAGGAAUCUGUGAUUUAUUUGACAUGACAUGAGAUACAUCCACAGAUUUGCGUUAGUAAUUGGCAAUGUGAAUAUGUUAGAAUGAGAGCCAUAAUAUUGAUUCACAAUAAAUGUACACAUACAUCCAACGCAUGCAAAUACAAAAUAUUCUCAUCACUAGAGCAAUGGACGUCAAAGGUGAAAGAAAGAAAUCAUUUAUUCAACAGCAUGAUAAGUCUACUCCAUCCAGUGCCACAUAUUCAAAUCAUCAAAUGGUUAUGCACUGCCACUACAUUAAAAAGAAGAAAAAUUCAGAAUAUGAUCUUACAACAGUAGCCCGUUUCAGUAGUCCUUUCUCGGCCAAAAAAAUAAGAUCACCACACUCAUCCUGUUACCAAGGGAAAACGCAUAAUUAUUCCAACACAUCUUUUAUUCAGGCAAAAAAGGCUAAAUAUUGAAUAAGUGAGCCAAUGUUGCACAAACUACUUAGUAAUGACAAGCUACUUUAGAACAAAUGUAGCACUAAAUUUAAUUUCCUAUCAGCAACAACUAACUUAAUAGCAUUAAAAUGCUACUAGAUUAAAAAAAAAAGAUAGUACCUCUGCUAAGUCCUCAUCUGAGAGUAUUGAUAUACUGAUAUCAUCCAACAAACCAGUAACACAUAAGAGAAUAUUUGUACAUGUAUCAUUUAUCUUGUAUUCAUUUUCAGACUUCUUGAUGCCUGUUACAGGUUUAUCCAACAGCACGUGAGAAAGUAGUUUCCUUUCUUGACAAAUGAACUAGACCAUCAAACCUAAUAAAGAAUGAUUGCAAAUGAUCUAUACCUGUUACUUGUCCAAGAAGGUAUGCUUUUCUAGGUAUUUCAUAGCUGUGCACAUUUUUUCCGCACUUGACUCUAACAAAACAGCCAACAACUUUCUGUUCAAAUGUGUCUGGCUGACUCGUCAAAAGACUAAUAACUAAAGUUUUUCUCAGGUAGAUUAGGUUGAUAUUAUUCUGAGUAAGGGCGGCAAAAUGUCUCUUGCUUCCUUCUGAGACCCUCUUAGCAAUCUUUGGCUCCAGACUAUUCCGAGGUCUCUUUUUAAUAACUGGGGUGUCAUCAUCAUCUUCAGAACUACAAAAACUUUCAUCCUCUGAAACAGCAUUUGAAGCUAGAUGAACUGCCAAGAACUUACGGAUCAUUUUGCAUCUCACUUUUCUUCUCGUAAACAGGGGUUGCAGCUUAUCAUCACACAAGAAACGAAGUUUCUUAUUGUCCUGGUAUAGUUUCUUCUCUUUGAUGUACCCUUUGACAACUCCAAUAAUUUCAAGUUCAUCAAGAGGUUUUGACGUAUCCUUUCCAAAACUUGACAAGAACCCAAUUAGCUCUUUGGAACCCCACCCAACAUAGGUUCUCUUAUUUGACUUGUUCUUCUGUGAUGUGUUCGCUUUAAUCUGUUUUCCCUUAGAGUCAAAAGGAAUUGUACCAUUGGCGCCAUUAUCAGGAGAUGUAUUUUCAUCUGACUUGUGAUCAACAGCUGGAAAUCUCUCUAAAUUCACUCCUUUACAGUUAAGCUUUCUAUUCAGAAUAUAACUAGCUUCUUCCAGGUCAACCAAUGUCAAAUGUUCUGCAUCUUUAAUUCCUUCCCAGUAGUCUUUAAACAAAAUUUCGUAAUUAUAUGUUUUUGCCUGGAGAUGCACAUGAACACUUGUCAGAAAAGAUAGAAGAAGAAAAAAACAUGUUGCAGAGGUCAAAUUGUAUUUUUUUUUUAUAUAGUAUAAACAACUUUGGAAUUCUUUCCACAAAGAAAUCCAACAAAGUUAUGGAGGGGAAGAACUAAAGGUGAACUUUAUAGCAAGCAACAAACUCUUUUCGAGAACUGACUAGUAAAGACCCAAUAUUGUACUUGAGGAAUCUGGGUUGUUUUAUCCACUUAGACUGUGGCAUUCUUGUUCUAGGAGUGUUGUGGGUGUGUGAUCAGUGGCAGAGCAUGAGCUAAAAUCAAGAGGGGGCCAAUGCCAUAUGCUCAUGCUACACCUAGCUAGCUGUUACUAUCUUCCAGGUUGUGCUUUAUCCAUGAGCAAGAGAAGCCAGCAAGUAAGAUGAAAAAUGAGAUGACGUGCUUGUGCAUGUAAAGCUCGUUUGAUGGCAUUGUGUAUGAGCUCCUACAUCAUUCAGUACAACGGCCGUUGAUGCUUUAAGAAUAGAGAAAUGCUUGAAAGCCAUAAUGAGCAGCAAAUGCAGGAGAGCAGAGCGUGUCAGGCACAUGUGAGUCUGGCUGUGUGGAUAAUACAUGGAUUUUUUUUCUUUAGUGAAAUGGCAUGCAGCCUCUAGUGCAUUUGAGAACAGUAUAAUGAUUCAGAAAAAUAGUUGGGUACAUGCAUGCAGUUACCACAUGAGGAUCAUUCUUCUCAAUCGCGAUAGCCAGGUUCAAGCAGGUGCUGCAGAAUCCCUUAUUUUGCUUUCUCAGUUGCACAAAUUCUUGUUUUCCAAGGCAGGCAUAGCAAACAGAGUAAAGUGGACAGCACAGGCACUGAUAAUCAGAACAUCCUCUGCACUGGACACAUAUGUGCCAAUCUGUACAAAGUCAAAAUUAGGCUCACGAAUGAAUUACAAUAGAUUUCAAGAGUACAGAAGCUAAAACAGAUAUUUCAUAAAAGAGGUUAAAACAGACAUUCCACAUUUCAUGAUCAUAUAUGUCAGGUGCAAAAUGCUCAUUAUGUGCAACUAUUUAACUCCUGGUUAGCUUGAUGUGUUGUCAGACAAAAGAAGUUGGAUAGUUACUGUUUACAAGUUUUUAUUGGAGGCACUGAAAUGCUAGUUGUAUUUCUGUUCCAUGUUGCAUAAUGCUGGAACAGGUACCUCCGUAAAAUAGCAAACAGUUGAAAGCACAGAAAAGAACAAGGAUAAUUUCAUAAGGCGGUUCCUUUCAAAAAAAAUUCAUAAGGCGGUUUGUACUUCAGGAUAGGUGGCCGUAACCAAGAAACGAACAAGUGAACAUGAGUGACAACCAAUUUUUGGACAAGCUUCCAGUCAAACUUUCUAAAGCAAUGGUUAUCAAUAUAUUCCAAAAUAUGCAUACUAGGAACACAAAAAGCAUAUGUAUGGUGUUUUUCUUUUGGAAAAAACUUCCACAGUACAAAUUUUAUGGAUUCUACAAAUUUACCGCAAUAUAAAAUACUCGUGAAAAGUACAUCUUCUUAAGACUGAUGUUAUCCAAGUACAAGUAUUUGUGACUGAAGGGUGCACGAUUUUAAUUGCAACAGAUCAUACCAGCCCUCAAGCAUCAACAUCUGCAGAGCUAUUGAAGGACAUUGUCUUUUCAUAGCAGUCAUUGACCAGAAACACUUUUCCCUGUAUCGGACCAUUACAGAUUCAUAAAACCAGGCACACAUUUAGGAUGCAUGGUCAUGUUCAACGAAUGGGUAGGUCAUCAUGAUCGUGCAGCACAUGUGUGAUGUAAAACGCCAAUCAAAACUAUUGUUUGACAUUAACAUAUCAUCCACACAUUCAGGACAGGAAUGGUAAAAUGGACAGCGUACAAGUUCUCACCGCAUAUGAACCCCUCAUCUUUGUUUUGGACACAGCCUGGAUGGUAAGCCUUGAGGCAGUUCCUGGAAAGGACCAGGACGCAAAAUUAGCUAGCAAAGCAAAGCUGUUGGCAACGAUUGGACUGAAAAAUAAAAUGAACCAGGCGACGUUUUUCCCCAAGCCAGCAGAGACAUAAGCAGGUGGAUUCAGGGGACUGGGUGGUUUCACCACGCAGAAUCGCUGCACCAACAUCUACCCAGCUGCAUUCCGCAAGCCAUCCAAAUAUGAAAUACGCCGGAACAAGACAGCAGAACGAAAUCACGCAACCGAUUAAAGAGCAAUCGCGAUGAAUUCUAGUCUUCUUCUUUUUUUCGCACCAAAAGAGCCAACCGAUCGACACAGAAAACCCCCAAAAAAACCCCGCAUGUUCAUCAUCAAUACAGCUAAUCGGGGCGGCGGAAUCAGACGUAUACCUUACCUAGAGUCACAUACGCGGAGGUCGUGCCCGCUGUCCUUGCAAACGAAGCAGCAUUCCUCGGCCAUCUUGUCCUUUUCCUGCCCCUGCCUCUUCAUGCUCAUCAUUUCCUCCCCUGGACGCGCAAACGGAGCGGCCUGGACUUAAACCCCCUCAAAACCCUCCGCAAAACCCCGGGGUCACCCUCGCCUCCGCGAUCCUCGCCCGGAUGACGGCGGUCGGCGCAAAUGGCGGCGGCGGAGGGCGGGCCGUCUGGGUGAGUGAGGGUUUAGUGGGUCCGAAUUCUAGAGAGCGGAGGAGCGAGCGAUUAUGUGGCCAUGUGUGGGUGCGAGUGAAACCAGCCGGUGCCGUGGGGGGAAGAAAUGGAAUGGAAAGGCUCGAGUCGCGCAGGCCGCCGGAGCGCAGAGCACGCCGUCGGGCGGUUGGGGGUCUACCGGCGCGUGCCGCGCGUGACGCGUGGUUCUGGCCGCUUUGUCCUUGUUGGUUGGCUCGCUUCUUUUCUUCCUCUGCCGGUCCGUCUCGUGGAAGGGAAGUUGCUGGAGGCCUUUACAUAUAAUGUCAUUAUAAAAAUUAUAAACAUUAGUAGUUAUUUAUUUAUAAGUUAUUUUUUUGAUAAUAUUUAUUUAUAAGUUAUUAAAAAGUUGAGUUUGUCGCACUUACAUCAGAUUUGACUCUAACGGUAUUAAAGUGCAGAUAUAAAAACAUCUAAAUAUCUAAUUGUUUCUUUGAGCAUCUUAACGAUCUCAAAUAAAAGAGCUCAAAACUAGAAAGUUGUAGAUCUCGUCGAGAUCUACAAUAUUUAUAUAAAAAUAUUUUUGUUUUAUUUUGUAUAAAAAAUAUGCUUUUUCUAAGAUAUAAUAAUCAUAUCAAAUCAUAUCUUUUUGUAAGAAAUUCAACAAAAAUAAUUUUUAUACAAAAAUUAUAGAUAUUAUGGAGAUCUGCAACUUUUUAGUUCUGAGUUUUUUAUUUAAGGUCAUUAAGAUGCUCAAAAAAAAUUAUUACAUAUUUAGGCUUGAGAAUAUUUUUGACUUUUCACACUCGCGGUUCAACAUUAUUAGCGCUAAAUCUGACAAAAAUGGCAUAAAAAGCAAAACAAAUUUAGAGCAAUGGUAUCCACGAGAACUUAACUUUUUUUAAUAAUUUAUUGAAUAGUUAUCAACUUUUAUAAUGUCACGUAAGUAAAAGUCUCGACGUACAGAAUGGUUCAUUGGGAUUUGGGAGCCCAACCCAGUUACCCAGCACCCGCACAAUUCUGCUUUUGGGCUUAGCCUGUGUGAUGCAUCAGUAAGACUUGGGCCAAGAAAUAGUACAGGUCAGGCUUAUAUCGUAUUCUUAAUUUACUAGUUAAGUGCACGUGCGUUGCUACGGGUAUAUAUAGAAUCUCAUGAUAGAUAACCUCACGUGUAGAACAUAUAUAAAAUCUCAUCCAUUCAUUAAUAUUUUUUUACAUAAAGCUAAAUAUUAACCAUAGAAGAAAAAAGGCAUGGUAGAAAUAAUAAUCAUCAUGUUACAAAUUAAACAUAAAGUCAUAUAGUUAUUAAAAAUAUAUUAUAAUAUAAUGAGUACAUCCAAUCAAUAAGAUAUACACAAGAUCAUCAUAUGCUACGUGUCUCCUAUUGUUCCCAGACUUCUUCUAUUAUCUAAAAUGCAAAUGGAUACAAUCAUACAACAAAUGUUAGUAACAAAGGACACAAAUGUAAGAAAAUAUAACAUUUAUACAAAAUAGAAGAUAAUACCUUUUCAUAGAGUGAGGACCUCUUUGUAGACAAUAUUUUUUGUGUAUGUACCAUUUAUUUUUGUAUUAUUUUUCUUAUCAUUCGUAUCACUGGGCAGGACAGCAAGGAUCCUGAUAUUCAAUCUGGCAGUGGCUCUAGAUAGCGCAACAUACAGCUGGCCAUGAGAGAACACUGGUUCAGGCAAAUACACACCAACAUUGGGAAGAGUCUGCCCCUGUGCUUUGUUAAUCGUCAUGGCAAAACUGAGUCUAAUAGGAAACUGCUUCCUCUUGAACUGGAAUGGAAACAUCUCAUCAUCCGAGGGACAUAACGGAAUCCGUGGUAGGAAGAUUCGCUUUCCGGCAUGGUCUCCAACCAUAAUUUCUGCAUCGAUAAUAUUUCUUUGGAACCCUUGAACCACCAGUCUGGUUCCAUUGCAAAGUCCACCUGCAGGGUCGAUGUUCCUUAGCAAUAUGAUCGGACACCCAAUCUUAAGCUUUAACACAUGUGGAGGAAGACCAUUGGGGGUCAAAGUGUUGAGGAACUCAGAUGGGUAGUGGUUGUGUGGAUCAUCCACGGCACUAUCAAAGCUAUGGUACACCAUCUCAUCCCCUUGGAAACGACUUAUCAUCUUCAUGUUAAUCAUAUCAACAGAGUCGUUCCGCGCAGAUAAUAUUGCUCGUGAGGUGAUGUAGCUCUUGUCUGACAUAUUGGCAUUGAGGGCAGGAAAUAUGCAGUCAAUUAACAUAUCAAGAUCACCGUCUUUUCCAUUCUGUGGUAUGCAUAUAUCAUCAGGAAGGUGGAUUUCACCAUUACAAUUAGCCUCCUCAGAGCCUCCCCCAAUACGUAGCAAGUAUUCUGCAAACCAUGGAUCGUUCUUUGCCCUCAUGUUGCGCACCAAUUUGAGAUGUCGCAUGGAAUUCCAAAGGUACGACAUCCGCAGUGAGGCACCAACUAUUUGUGCCCAAGACCCUCUUGAACAACUGGGAGAAACUGCCUAAAAUCUCCACCAAACACCAUAGUCUUCCCCCCAAACGGGAGGUUAGGACGGUCCAUGAUAUCACGGAGGCUGUUGUCUAGCGCCUCAACACCUUGUCUCUUCAUCAUUGUCACCUCGUCCCAAAUAAUAAGGGAUGCGGUCUGAAGCAGCUUGGCAGUACCACUCUGUUUUGUGAAGGUACAAAAGGCUCCAUUAUCGAGGGUGAGGGGAAUCUUGAAGCGUGAGUGGGCGGUUCUACCACCAGGCAUUAUUGACGCAGCAACACCAGAUGUUGCUGUUGCCACAGCAAUCUUGUUCUGACUACGUAUAGUAGCGAGUAGGGCCCUAUAUAGAUAAGUCUUUCCUGUGCCGCCAGGUCCAUCCACAAAGAACAAACCCCCGUGAUCGGUAUCAAUAGCAGACAUAAUCUCAUUGUAGGCAGCCCGCUGCUCCUCGUUAAGGGUCUUUGAUAGUGCCAUGUCAUCAAUGCUUGCCUCAACGCUAGCCUCCUCAAAAAUCUCCCUGGGAAUAUCACCGGAUGGAUCAUAUGUGUCAUCGAUAUCAGGAAGUGGGUACAUCUUUAUGUCCUUCUGCAUUGAUUCUAACAACUUUCGAAUAUCUAUGAGGACCAUCUGCUCCACCGCAAAGGUUGAUUGGUUAUUGCGCCUGUAGUCCUCUGACAUUGCCUCCUUAUGCUUUUCCCAGAGUUUUAAUACAUCACUCGGCUCACAAAAAACCAAGAUUGUUGCAAAGAGCCUUCGCAGUGCAUAUGGCAUCAUCCAUAGAGUAGCUUCAGCAAGGCCCUCGUGCAGCGUGUUGUCCGCUUCAAUGAAGCCCCUUCUUUCUGCAGCUUCACGGAAAGUCGGUAGGAGUUCGCCAGACACCGUCCUUAGAUCAGUGAACGAGGUAGCACCAACCACAUGAUUUAGAAGCACCCUAAGAUAGUAACGCUCCCCUUCAGCCGGAUUGGCACAUACAACUCUUCCAAUCUGUCUUAAAUGAUUCUUUUGCGCCCUCCUAAUCCAUUGUUUACCUUGUGAGUCCCACUUAUAGUACUCAGGAAAGUCCCGAUACAAUAUACCACGGGCAUGUUCAGAUGUGUUGUUCUUCUCGAAGAAGGCUGUAAGCAUCGACCUUUCAACACCUGGACGAUUAAGCACUCGUCGAACACCUUCACGUCGAUGAAAUGAUACCAUGUGCAUGUCAGGAAGAUGGAGCUGCAAGGACAACACCGAAGGGGACCUAUCAUUUAUAUCAAAACCAUAUAUCCUCCAUAAGGCUUCUGGUGGAGUUACCCAUCUAGCAUCCCUGUACUGUUUGAUCUCAUCGAUGUUUCCUUCAUUGUCCUCCUUGUUAGCCUCUCUCACAGCUACAGACGUGCGGUCAUGACCCUUGUAAAUGUACUUAAACAAAUACUUGACGGCCUUGAUGCUCCCACAUGCUUCAACAUUGAUGUGGCAAUUGAACAAACGUAGGAGGUAUGGGUUGUAAGGCACGACCCAUCUAUUGUCAAGCUCAUGCCCACGAACUUUUUCUUUUCUACCAUCAUCACGUCGUCUAUAAACUGGGUAUGAAUCAUUGCCUUGUAAUGUGGCAUCACAGAAAGGUCGUGGGUAAUGGUUCUUGCAUGAUUCACGGCCCUUUGUGCAUGGGCAGUUGCGAUUAAGUACUCCACAAGGGCCAUGCAUCAUAUGCUUUGUAACCAUUUUAUACAAGUCUGGAUACUUCUUGUUUGGGAGCUCGGCAGAGAUGAGUAGGUCAUACUGCUCUGGGCACGUGAUCUUGUAGCGUCUGUCCAUGAUUAGCAAAAAAUGUGCAUGCGGUAGACCCCUCUUCUGGAACUCCACAACAUACACGUGUGCACGGACCUUUCCAAGGAUAUCCUUUUUUAACAACACGUGCUUAAGCUCUUCCAGUUUUGCCCUAAAGACCCGAUCAAUAAGGUCUGGACGAUCCUGUGGUGUUUGUCCAGGGUACAACUCACGCGUGAUCUCAUCCCACUUUGGAUUACAUGUCAUAGUCAGGAAGAUGUCUGGUUUCCCAAACCUUCGCACCAGUGCCAUGGCAUCCAUGUACCUACGCCUCAUGUCCCUCGGGCCUCCGAUAAACGACGAAGGCAUCACGGUCCGCUUUCCAACAGCUUCUGAUCUACCCUCACCAGCAUGCAGGCUAUCAACCAAUCCUUGGUAGAGGUCGGCCCUAAUCUCAGUUUGAUGAUUGCAUAUGUAAUCCAAUCGAGAACUCUCGAUUUUGAUGUAUGUGUCCACUGCAAAUUGUUGGAAAAGACGCUUGCCAUGAAGUAUGGGAUUAAAGAUUCCUGGUCGUAUCUGGAACUUGUAGCAGUAGUAGUCACGCACAGAAACACAUAAAUUUCCCGGAGAGUCUACAAAAACUAUGGUAUUAGAGGUGUUCUUGUGAUAAUGGUUUGAUAUACAUGAAAAGUAUAAGAAGAUAAACAAACCUGUUUCUUCUUCUUCAAUACCACUACGAGCCUUACGCAGGGCACGAGCCACGUUGACAUCCUCCAUAGUAACACCUUUCUUUGGGAUAUCCAUAUGCCAUCCAAGCUCACCUCUAGGGAAGAAGAGUGGGUAUGAAAGAGCAUCAUAGCAUCCAUGGUAUGAUCGGAUGCCAUGCCUGCUCCUAUCUUUCCCAUGUAGGACUACACUAUUCUCAAAUUGACCAAGGAGUUCACUACCCUCGAUCCAAACAACAGCCACCUCCGAAGCCAGCGGUAUGUUGUAUGUCCUUUGGUCCAAUCGCUGAUCAAGGUUAAGUGUAAGAUGAUAGUCCUCGAGGUGUUCAGCUUGCCCUAGACUCCUCAAAUGUUGUGAGUACGGGUUGUCACGAAGGAUGGCCACCAGUCUGUCUAUAACUUCUUUAUCUUUUUUAUACUGUUCUUCAUGACACCUUCGAUACCGGUGCUCAAGGCUCGGAUCAUCAUCAUAGAAGUAAAGCUCAAGAUGUCUGGGCUCCUUACCAUCUUCUAUACCAAAUGACCUUAUGUUGUGAUAGAUCAUGCCAUGUGCACGAAAGGUAUAUAUGCCACUAUUUCUAAUGUUAGCAGUAGCACUAUCGAGGCGACAAUACAAGGAAGUGAAAGAGAAGUGGCCAUUGAAAAACCUGAUAUUGCUACGAAAGUGCCUAGCAUCCGCAUCAGAGCUCGUCCAAAGCCUCAUGAGCUGGUUUGGUACGACGGGUGCAUUCAACUCAACCUUUCCGUUGCGGCAACAAAACCCAGGAGGUUCUUUUGGAAACCUCUUCGCUCCACAAUGGUGGCAAUCUGGGACAGGUUUUAGCAUAUGUGUCUCUUGGGGCAUGUUACUAUACACCAUCUCAUACGGGUCAGGUCCUUCAGGGUUAGAAGUUGUGUCUUCCUCAGUAGUAUCACUUUGGACAUCAUCAUCUGAUUCAUCUAUUGAAAUGAUUUGAACAUAAAAAUGAAGGUCAGAUAAAGGAGUGGAUGUUUAGAAAGGUAAUAGGUAUUUGUUUACAAAUACUAUUUACAAAUACCUUGACCAGCAAACAAGUAUCCCUCAUCCUCUUCCUCAUCCUCUUCAAAUAUAUCGCCCUCAUCAUCAUCUGUGAUCACCACAGUGCCAUGAUAUAUUACAACUUAGGUAACAUUAAAGGAAAGUAAAUAAAGAAUGCAAAAAGUAGUGCAAAAUACCAGUGUCAUCAAAUAAAAGUUGUGUGGGUGUAGCUGAUGCAUUUUGAUUGCUUGAUCCAACGUUUUCUGUCAAUCACAUAUUUGACAUGGUUGAGAUAGGAAUAAAGUUGUUCCAUGUCAAGGAACGGGGGUAGGGAGGUCUUGUUACUUACUGUUGUUGGUCACGGUUGACUGAGUUAAGGGCGUUUCUUCAUCCGCAUGGUCUAUCUUCAUGCAUUCAUCAUCAUUGUUAGCUACUCCCAUGUUUUGACCGAUGCGACGCUCAAACAUAGUGUUACGAUGGGCUAAUAAUGCAUUUCUUUGCCCAAAUGUAACAUUUUGUCUAUGUGUCAUAUGACCAAGUAGUACAUCACCGCAUCCAUCAUCAUCAUCAACAACAACAUUUGUCUCCUCAGUAGGUUGUGGGAAGCAAAUAGGUGUUGCAGUAGAUUCUGGGAUAAUCCAAUCGCUGGGGCUUACUAUGGGUCCAUGAGGCCUAGAUGAGUUUGCACCGGGCCACACCAUCUUCGGAUUAAAGAGUGGAUUUUCCAUUGCAAUGGACUCAUUGUUUAAGGUGUGUCUCUGCACCUCCCUGGAGCGGUUUGUAGUCACUUUCAUUGCCUCUUUUCGAGAUGGAGUUUUAUUGUAAAGCCUCUGUUGCUUGCGCCUUUGUUCCCGUUGCUCAGGUGUCUUGUUUGCAUAUGUAUUCCUAAACCUUGUAGUCAUGUCUGCAUAUGUCGUCCUGAAUCUUUCACGACCAGCCAUGACUUGCUCAUUUGUUAACUCUCUCUUAUGUGAAGCAUCGUAAUCGGUUAUGCCUAUUGUUGAAACAUGGGUGCAUUGUGACUGUAUUUCUUGAUUAACUAUGUUGCGAGCGGUAAUUGCAUCAUCACCUACAUAGUUGUGUUUGAGUUAAAAAAGUAGCAAGACAACCAAGACACACCAAAUAUCCAUCAAUGAUCCUCUCGUUGUAUAUAAAGCUACUAAUAAUUUCACCAACACAAAAAUGUAGGCGUUGGUGCCAUAUUAACAAUAAUUUAAUUACCUGAUAACCUUUUGGACAUAAGUAUAUCAUCAUUGUUGUUUGCAUGGAGGGAAUCAUUCCUAUACAACCAAUCAUCUGUUUCAUUAGGAUCCAUAUUUUCCUUGUUUGAUGCAGUCUGACCAUCUACCAAUUGACACAUCAUACAUAAAAAACAUCAAUAGUAAUAUCGGUAUUAUUAUUCACCAACAAUUCUAGUAUACAACCAUUGGUAGUUUCAUUACGUAGGUGUUGCUCCUUUCUUCUUUUGUAUGCUUCCCGACGUUUUUUAUUUUUUUCGUCCCUUUUCUCCUGAGACAUUGCAUGCCAUCGAGCCUUUUCUCUUUCUCUCUUGCGCUGUCCAGCAUCGCUUUCUACAGUGUUACAUUCAUAUACCAUUGAUUAUAAUUUGUAAUAAUAUUAUACAAUAUGUUAAAUUAAAUAUAGUAAAUGCCCAUGUAUUUUGUUUACCUCCAUUAGUAGUGUUAGUCUUGUCACCCAGUGGUGUAGGAGAGCCCCUAUUUUCCAUUGAAAUAACCAAGAAUUGCCACACAAUUCAGUGCUUCGGCGUGCUGAUCUGUACUUCAGUUCUGCAUGUUGGAAGAAACAAACAAACAAGGUUCGCUAUCUCACUGCUCUUUUCUCAUUCCAUUCUAAACUGAUAUUAUCCUACUUCUUUUCUCGUUCCAUUCUAAAUUCAGUCGCUAAUAACCACUGAUUAUUUAUUAUCUUUUUUAUCAUUCAUUUUUCUACUCCCAAAUCUCGUUAGCCAUUUCUAAACUCUGCAAGAAAAUUUUCUAAACACUUGACCACAAUGACAUAUAUAUGAACUUUGGAGCUUGUGGCACAUAUAAAAAAGAAAACUAUAAAAUUAUUUGUAGCCACUCUUAGCAUUCUUAGAGGCAUCACAUGUAUCUUGUAGUUGCAGUAGAGGUUGCAGAAAGGUUCCAAGGUUCAGUGUAGGGUCAGAGCUAACUAAAGCAAAUGAAAAACAAUUACGGCAGAAGCAAUUGGAAAACUGAAGGCUGAGUAAAAUAAUAAUAAAAAUCAUUAUCUGAAAGCUGAAUGGGCAAGCAACUAAAUUAGUGGCCUGAGCUAAAAUACUGUUACCAUUGAUAUCAAUAGGAAAAUAUUUUUAACGCAUUUUAAACAUCUGGAUAAUGAUAAUAUUCCGAUUUCAAUUUUAGCUUACACCUAAAUAUGAUAACCAUACAGGGUAGGCUGCAAUAUGAGAAGUCACAGGCAAUUCAACAAGCACCUAGAGAGCACCAUCACAUCACCAACCAAGUACGGGGGAGAAGCUAAAUCG